GCAGUCCUGAGAUAUCUGUCAUAUUUAAAUCGCAGUAUAAGAUGCAGCUAAGAUUUCUAACUCAUACUGCCCACCCAUCCUUCUUAAAGGAGUGUGGGAAAAGACGCAAACAGAAGGUGGAAAGGGACAAAUACAAGUUGUCCCAUCCCUGAAAUGUUUCCUAUUUCACUGGGUGAUGUCAGAGCGUCAGGAGCAGCAGCAAAAAUACCUUCUGUAUUGUGUCAACUCCGCAGGCCUUAAAAAAAACUCUUUGGGAUUUCAGUUAAUGCUUCUACUAUUUUUUUCUUUAAAGUCAUCCUGGCCACCGCCUUUUCCUCAUAAGGAAAGGGAAUCAAGUGUGAACUCCAACCGCCCACGGCUACAGCAAAUGCCCCACAGCCCCGAGGCAGCCUCGAAAAAUAACGGGCCCGGGAGAAAGCUUUCCACCGCGAGCAGGCGUGCGGAAGAGCUCCCACCUGCUCGGCUGCGCACAGCGGUUUCCUAUGGCCUUCCGGACCCUCCUCAAAGGCUCCAGGACGCGCCAACCCCACCGAGCGCGCUAAGCACUGCAGGCAGCGAAGGGCAAACGGAGGUGCGUGGGGUCGCGCGGCCAGCAACCCUCCGGCCCUCCCGCCCCAGGAAUCCGGGCAGCCGCAGGCCCCGCCGGACCCUAGCGGGGCCGGGGCGGGGCGGGGGGCCGCAGCGCCGAAGCGCCCACCUCCCAGACCCCAGGCAGGCUAGGCUGGAAGUCGGCAAUCUCCAGUGAUUCUCAUCUCCUCCCAUCUUGGAGCUGGGAUUACAGAUCAUACCGUCCACUUUCCAAGGCUGAUCUCCACAAGUUUCGAUCUGGAACCUGUAACAAAAGCCAAAUUUACUAACCCUGAAAAAUGGAAAUAUGUUACUUUUAAGAGAUUCUGUCUUCAAUAUCCAAAAGAAAGUCCCUGAGCCUUAGCUCGAGCUGCCUUUCUGCAGACAUCUGUGAUGUGUCACAUGCACUGGAAGAUCUUCCCCGAGUGAAAAGGAACGAGUUUUAAUUUUGAGAACACAUAAACGUAAAAGUACUGAUCCAAGAUAUGGAUGAGAAAAAUGGAAGCAUUAAGUCAUGCUUGGCCCUGGAGCAAAUGGGGGAAAAAUGAUUGGAAAACAUUGGCUGCUAUGUGGGUGAGAAAGGAGAUGAUGCAGACUAAUAAAGAAGUUGCUGGAAUCAGCCAAGUGGCUGGCUAGGUGAUGCCAGUGGCAGAAUAGGGAGACAACUACCAGAGGAGAGACGCACUCAAAUUUCAGUUUUUUGAGACAGACUCUUUAUGCAGCCCAGACUGAUUUCACACCUGCAGUUCUCCUGAUGCUGCUCCCAACGGGAUUACAGGACUGCAGAAAAUAGUAAAGAAAACCAUCAAUGAAAUGAAGAGGCAGCCUGCAGAAUGGAAGAAACUCUUUGCAAGCUACUUGCCUAACUCCUAAGGGAUUCAUAUCCACAAUACACAAGGAAUUAAAAAAAUUAACUGAGCUGAGAAGAUGGACAAGUAUGCUGACCUGAGUUUGAGACCGAGAACCCACAUAAAAACCUGAGUGUGAUGGUGUACACUUGUAUCCCAAUACUGGUAAGGCAGUAACAGGAAGAUCCCUGGGGGCUCAAAACCUAAAAAUAGAACUACCACUGGAUCCAGCUAUACAACUCCUAGCUCUAUGCUUUAAGGAAUCUGAGUCAGCAUUCCAAAGGUAUCUGUACAUUCAUGUUGACUGUGGUAUUACUUACAAUAGCCAAAUUAUGUAACCAGCUUAGAUGCCUAGCAACAGGUGCAAUGAAUAAGAAAACAGGGUACAUAUACAUGAUAAAGUAUUACUCAGUAGAAUAAACCCAUGUCAUUUACAUGUCAAAAUGGAUGGAACUGGAGAUCAACAUAUUGAACCAAAUAAGCUAAACUCAGAAAGAUAUAUACCACAUUUUCUCAUCUCUGAGGGAUCUAAACUUAAAAUAUAUACAUAUAUAAGUGCAUUACAUGUGUGUGUAUAUGUGUGUGUGUGGCAUGGAAGCAGAAGGGGGACUAUUUGGGAAGAAGGGGACCAGCGGAAAAGGCAAGAGAUGAUAAUGGGAUGAACAUAACCAAAGUACAUGAUAUACACAUAUGAAAAUGCCACUAUGAAACUCACUGCUUCAUACAAUGAAAUCUGCUAAUAAAGGGCUUAAUUCUUCAUUCAUAAUCCUUUAGCUUAAAGACUAUUUGUAGUUAGUUACUAAACUAAACUAGAGGCUCAGGUUCAUUGUAUUAUUCUUCCAGCACAUAAAUAUACACUAAUUUUAAAAAUAGAAUCAAUAAUUCAAACAUUCCG